rnacentral:rRNA from 1 species
AGAGUUUGAUCAUGGCUCAGAUUGAACGCUGGCGGCAGGCCUAACACAUGCAAGUCGAACGGUAACAUUUCUAGCUUGCUAGAAGAUGACGAGUGGCGGACGGGUGAGUAAUGCUUGGGAACUUGCCUUUGCGAGGGGGAUAACAGUUGGAAACGACUGCUAAUACCGCAUAAUGUCUACGGACCAAACGGGGCCUUUAGCUCCGGCGCAAAGAGAGGCCCAAGUGAGAUUAGCUAGUUGGUAAGGUAAUGGCUUACCAAGGCAACGAUCUCUAGCUGUUCUGAGAGGAAGAUCAGCCACACUGGAACUGAGACACGGUCCAGACUCCUACGGGAGGCAGCAGUGGGGAAUAUUGCACAAUGGGGGAAACCCUGAUGCAGCCAUGCCGCGUGUGUGAAGAAGGCCUUCGGGUUGUAAAGCACUUUCAGUUGUGAGGAAAAGUUAGUAGUUAAUACCUGCUAGCCGUGACGUUAACAACAGAAGAAGCACCGGCUAACUCCGUGCCAGCAGCCGCGGUAAUACGGAGGGUGCGAGCGUUAAUCGGAAUUACUGGGCGUAAAGCGCACGCAGGCGGUUUGUUAAGCUAGAUGUGAAAGCCCCGGGCUCAACCUGGGAUAGUCAUUUAGAACUGGCAGACUAGAGUCUUGGAGAGGGGAGUGGAAUUCCAGGUGUAGCGGUGAAAUGCGUAGAUAUCUGGAGGAACAUCAGUGGCGAAGGCGACUCCCUGGCCAAAGACUGACGCUCAUGUGCGAAAGUGUGGGUAGCGAACAGGAUUAGAUACCCUGGUAGUCCACACCGUAAACGCUGUCUAC